UAAUACGUAGGGGGCAAGCGUUGUCCGGAAUUAUUGGGCGUAAAGCGCGCGCAGGCGGUUUUUUAAGUCUGGUGUUUAAUCCCGAGGCUCAACCUCGGUUCGCACCGGAAACUGGGAGACUGGAGUGCAGGAGAGGAAAGUGGAAUUCCACGUGUAGCGGUGAAAUGCGUAGAGAUGUGGAGGAACACCAGUGGCGAAGGCGACUUUCUGGCCUGUAACUGACGCUGAGGCGCGAAAGCGUGGGGAGCAAACAGGAUUAGAUACCCUGGUAGUCCACGCCGUAAACGAUGCAUGCUAGGUGUUAGGGGUUUCGAUACCCUUGGUGCCGAAGUUAACACAGUAAGCAUGCCGCCUGGGGAGUACGCUCGCAAGAGUGAAACUCAAAUGAAUUGACGG
rnacentral:rRNA from 1 species